GGCCACAAAGUCCGGUGGAUUAAAACAGCCUUACGCGAGAGUGGAACAUGGGAGCCGUCAAAGCUGAUGACGGACGGAACCACCGGGGAUUCCUGGGCCGAUCAGCUGGAGAGAGGAACAACCCACUUGCAAAAAGUUGGUGUUACCAACCAAGUAGCUAUCUGAAAUUAGUUCCGGAGCACUGUGAUAUGUCAAACUGGGCGCCAUGAUCUCGAAAUCCGCAGGGGAGUAUUUCUAUCUGAUAGAGGCUUUCAUCUCCCCUUUUGGCCUACCUUCAUUUGUGGACCACCGUGAUGAUGCUCAAGCCUUUGGGCUUUUCCAUCAUCAGGCUGAGCUUUGCUGAAUAUGCCACAGCUCCUUUCUGUACUGAAUGAAAGAAAUCCUUCUGUCAUUGGCAUUCAAUUUAAUGUUAGCGGCAAAGCUAACAUCUUCAUUCUGAUUUGUGGGGAGAUUUUGUUACCAAAUAAAAUGACCCGACAUGGUUUAUUUCAAAACAAUAUGAUAAAACACAGACAACUUUUUUUUAUUUUGUUUAAAGAAGUGCUGUAUUUAAAAAAUUAUCAUCAGCAACAAAUACACAAUAAGCUUCAUUAAAUUGUUUUGCCAUACUUCAUAAAUGGCGGUUAAGGCUCAAAAGAAAAUUAUCACAUUAUCCAUGUGUCAGAAUAACAAACAAUAUUUUGCAGUAUGUUGUAUGUUCUGUGUUAAACUAUUAUUACUCGCAAAACAUCUCCAAUGCAGCCAAACGUAUCGAUUGAAACAUAAAAUAUACAUUAUAGAAGACACCAUACAAGUAUGAAGGAGGCCUAAUAUCUGCAUUAAACAAUGUUUUACUGA